rnacentral:rRNA from 1 species
CCUACGGGGGGCAGCAGUCGAGAAUCAUUCACAAUGGGGGAAACCCUGAUGGUGCGACGCCGCGUGGGGGAAUGAAGGUCUUCGGAUUGUAAACCCCUGUCAUGUGGGAGCAAAUUAAAAAGAUAGUACCACAAGAGGAAGAGACGGCUAACUCUGUGCCAGCAGCCGCGGUAAUACAGAGGUCUCAAGCGUUGUUCGGAAUCACUGGGCGUAAAGCGUGCGUAGGCUGUUUCGUAAGUCGUGUGUGAAAGGCGCGGGCUCAACCCGCGGACGGCACAUGAUACUGCGAGACUAGAGUAAGGGAGGGGGAACCGGAAUUCUCGGUGUAGCAGUGAAAUGCGUAGAUAUCGAGAGGAACACUCGUGGCGAAGGCGGGUUCCUGGACAGUAACUGACGCUGAGGCACGAAGGCCAGGGGAGCGAAAGGGAUUAGAUACCCGUGUAGUC